AACAGCUUUUAGGAAUAAUGUAUCUAUUACUAAGAAAGCUAAACCACCAAUUUCUGGUGAAGAAGUACUGAAACAGAUUGACGAAUUGGGGUUUAAGAGAGUUAUAGAUGAAGAUGCAUUUGAAAUAAAUUCCCGUCUAUCAAAGCAAUGCGGUUGGAGAAAAAGAAGUAUCUUCUGGGAUUUACCGUAUUGAAAAAGUAAUUUGAUUCGGCACAAUCUUGAUGUAAUGCACAUUGAGAAAAAUUUCUUUGAAAAUAUAAUCAACACUGUAAUGAGUGUUGAGGGAAAGACAAAGGAUAAUGCUAAGUCAAGGGCAGACCUAAAUGUGAUAUGCAAUCGGCCAGAGAUGGAAAUGGAUCAAGUCACUGGGAGAUAUCCAAAAGCUUGUUAUACUCUAGAUAAGCAAAGUAAGCAAGUGUUAUGUGAUUGGCUGAAAAAUCUAAAGUUUUCCGAUGGAUAUGUUUCUAAUAUGGGGCGAUGUAUUGAUAUGAAGAAGCUGAAGAUGUUUGGGAUGAAGAGUCAUGAUUGUCAUGUCUUCAUGCAGCGGAUUAUGCCAAUUGCAUUUCGUGAGUUGCUUCCGUCAAAUGUGUGGCAGCCCUUAACAGAGUUGAGUAAUUUUUUUAAGGAGUUAACAUCUACCACUAUAAGUGAGAGUGAUAUGUUGCGGUUGCAUGGUGAAAUUCCUUUAAUCAUAUGCAAGCUUGAGCGUGUUUUCCCUCCAAGCUUCUUUGAUUGUAUGGAACACCUCCCUGUCCAUCUAGCAUAUGAAGCAUGGCUGGCAGGUCCAGUGCAAUAUCGAUGGAUGUAUCCUUUUGAACGAUAUCUGCGACGGCUUAAGAAUAAUGUCAGAAAUAAAGCUAGAGUCGAAGGAUCAAUAUGUAAUGCGUACCUAGUAGAAGAAGCAACUUCAUUUUGUGCACAUUACUUUGAAUCGCAUGUCCAAACUAGACAUCGAAAAGUGCCAAGGAAUGUUGAUAUUUCAGAAAGUACUGAAAAUUAUGAAGGCAAUCUAUCAAUCUUCAUGCAGUCUGGUCGACCAAUAGGAAAAGGGACAACCAGAUAUCUUAUGGAGGAUGAGUAUAAAGCAGCACAAGUGUACAUAUUAUUAAAUUGUCCAGAAGUGAAACCCUAUAUUGAGUAAGUUAUCAUAAAUAAGUGAUUUAUAUAUUAUGUUCAAGUAAUUACCUUUUCUAAUGGAGUUGAGGUUUUUCCAGCAUUUACAUUGAUCAAUUGCGCUCAAAUGAUUCGUUGGUCAAUGAUUCUCAGAUUGACAUUAAAUUGGAGAGUGAAUUCUCUAUAUGGUUCAACAAUUUUGCUCAUGAUUCGUGCAAUAACAUAUCCAACAAGUUUAUCACAUCGCUUGCAAUGGGUCCAUUACGAAGUGUGACAUCAUACAAUGGAUAUAUGGUGAAUGGAUAUAAGUUUCAAUCGAAGUCAUACUGUGCAAGUAGAGCAACUAUGAACAGUGGGGUGUGUAUUAAGGGGUCAAAUUACAGCAGCGAAGAAAGCGAUUACUAUGGACAAUUGCUUGAAGUUAUACGUUUGGAGUAUCCAGGUCUUCCAAUCAAGCGAGUUGUACUUUUCAAAUGCAAUUGGUUUGACCCCACUCCAAAUGUAGGCACAAAGAUCCAUAGUAAAUAUAAACUUGUCGAUGUGAAUCAUAAACGAUCUUUUAAUAGAUAUGAGCCUUUUGUGCUGGGAGUACAAGCAAUACAAGUGAUAUAUACUCCGUAUCCUAGCCUAAAGCGAGAUAAAAUUGAAUGGUGGGCUGCUAUAAAAGUCAAAGCACGUUCUGUAAUUCAACUUCCAACACAAGAAAAUACACAACCUGCUGAUGAACCAUUUCAACAAGAUGAAAUGGAACACACUGCCAUAAUUAGAGAAAUUGAUGAUUCAACACAACAAUUAAAUGAUCCAACUGGGGAUGUUAUUGAAAUUGAUGAUGGUGAAGAAAAUGAUGAAGAUGAAACUAUAAUAGCAACAGAAACAGAUGAUGAUGAUGAUGAUGAUAAUGAUGACUUAGAUGUAAAUAGUGAAUAGAAGGAUGAGAGGACGAGGACGCGGAUCUUCAUCACGAGGUCGAGGAGACCAUGGCAGGGGUAGUGUCCACACAACUGAAUCAGAAAAUGUCAAUCAAGAUUUGGUACAACACACUACUUUGAUUCCUAGACCAGACCAGGGUGAGAGAUCCACACCGGGUGCUGCAUCAUCCACUCCUGCUUCAGUGCACACAUCUGCUACUGCCUCAGCUCCCAUAGGUUUGCCACCUAUUGCAUCUACGGCUACAUCUGCAUCUGCAUCUGCAUCUGCUUUUGGUAGUUGUGGACCUACAGGGCUCAGACCACAUAUUUCCUUAGUAAA